rnacentral:rRNA from 1 species
GUCGAACGGGGUCACCAUUUUGAAGCGAGUUAGCGUUGCGUAAGAGUGGAAAUGUUGGCGGCUUAGUGGCGGACGGGUGAGUAACGCGUGGGUAACCUGCCAUAUACAGGGGGAUAACACUUAGAAAUAGGUGCUAAUACCGCAUAAGCGCACGGAGCUGCAUGGCUCAGUGUGAAAAACUCCGGUGGUAUAUGAUGGACCCGCGUCUGAUUAGCUUGUUGGCGGGGUAACGGCCCACCAAGGCGACGAUCAGUAGCCGGCCUGAGAGGGUGGACGGCCACAUUGGGACUGAGACACGGCCCAAACUCCUACGGGAGGCAGCAGUGGGGAAUAUUGGACAAUGGGGGGAACCCUGAUCCAGCGACGCCGCGUGAGUGAAGAAGUAUCUCGGUAUGUAAAGCUCUAUCAGCAGGGAAGAAAGGAAUGACGGUACCUGACCAAGAAGCCCCGGCUAACUACGUG